GGUUAUUUAAUGGUGUACAUGA
rnacentral:snRNA from 1 species